rfam:Solanum tuberosum cultivar DM 1-3 516 R44 scf00859_1, whole genome shotgun sequence.
GGACGCGAUCAUACCAGCACUAACACACUGGAUCCCAUCAGAACUCCGAAGUUAAGCUUGCUUGGGCGAGAGUAGUACUAGGAUGUAAUUGAAAAAAAAUUAUUAUUUAUUUUUU